GCCCGGGUGGCGGAAUAGGCAGACGCACGGGACUUAAAAUCCCGCGCCCCCAAAGGGCGUGCCGGUUCGACCCCGGCCUCGGGCACCA
rnacentral:tRNA from 1 species